CAUGUGUGUCAAUAUGACAGCAAGCAAAGGAUGUGCAGAAUAAGGCUGAGGUUCUCAGAGAGGGCAGAUCUAAAGCAGCUUCUGGUAAGUCUCACAGAACCUGUGUAUCCAUCGUAUCGAGCCCCUUUCUGCCCUGCCCCACCUCUUGUUCUUUUUUCAUGCUUGGGGCUGCACAGUGCCAGACAUCAGUCUCCUCAGUCCUCUUGUUCACGCUUUCAUCAAGAGAUCUGAUGCUGAGGAGGUAGACUUCGCAGGUUGGCUCUGCUCCACCAUUGGGCUUAACCAGCCCAGCACACCAACCCAUGGCGCUGGCAUCUGAGCCUUUGGGAAGCAGCAAAGAGGAAAUCCUCUGCCCAGUGGCAUGCCAUGUUGCUUUCAGGCCUCUCCCAUGCUUGUCUCUGUUCAGACGUGCAUCUCAUCUGUGACAAAGGAUGAAGAACACAGCAUGUGCCAAAUUGUACUUGUGUGUGUCAUUUUUAAUAUCACUGUCUUUAUCACUAUGGUUACUCCCCUAAGUGAUUGGCUUUGUGCUUGGGGCUAUAUGUAUGUUGAUCAAA
rnacentral:lncRNA from 1 species